CCUACGGGAGGCAGCAGUAGGGAAUAUUGCACAAUGGAGGAAACUCUGAUGCAGCGACGCCGCGUGAGUGAUGAAGGACUCUCGGUUCGUAAAGCUCUGUUCUCAGGGAAUAAAAAAAUGAAUGUACAGAGAGAAGACGUCG
rnacentral:rRNA from 1 species